GGCCAGACUCCUACGGGAGGCAGCAGUGGGGAAUGUUGCACAAUGGGGGAAACCCUGAUGCAGCGACGCCGCGUGAGCGAUGAAGUAUUUCGGUAUGUAAAGCUCUAUCAGCAGGGAAGAAAAUGACGGUACCUGACUAAGAAGCCCCGGCUAACUACGUGCCAGCAGCCGCGGUAAUACGUAGGGGGCAAGCGUUAUCCGGAUUUACUGGGUGUAAAGGGGGCGCAGACGGCAGCGCAAGCCAGGAGUGAAAGCCCGGGGCCCAACCCCGGGACUGCAUUGGAAACUGCGAGGCUGGAGUGUCGGAGAGGCAGGCGGAAUUCCUAGUGUAGCGGUGAAAUGCGUAGAUAUUAGGAGGAACACCAGUGGCGAAGGCGGCCUGCUGGACGAUGACUGACGCUGAGGCUCGAAAGCGUGGGGAGCAAACAGGAUUAGAUACCCUUGUACCG
rnacentral:rRNA from 1 species